UACCCUGUAGAUCGAGCUGUGUGUUUGAAACAAUCAUACACGAGCUAGACUACAAGGUGCA
rnacentral:pre_miRNA from 1 species